rnacentral:sRNA from 1 species
ACCUAGACCUGAUUGAAAUGGCAUUCCGGUUUUGUUAAAAAUCAGUUUUAUAUUAAACAAUCACCGGAAUAUAAUGUAAAGCAGGACUAUUG